UGGAAUAUGGAUAUUUUGUUGGGAUAUCACAAUAUUUCUUAUUUAAUUAAUGCACCUAUAUCUCUCCCUAAUAAUAAAGCACGGAUUGAGUCUCCGGAUUCACCGUCGUGGCAUUUUUACAUAAAGGUCCAUGUGGUUUUUAUGAAUUAAACCCGCCAUCCCUGUUUUAUCUGGAAAAAAAAUGUUUAGUGUUCAACCCGCAGCCACGUCCUAUGUAAAAAAUAACAGAGUUUCUGCCCGUAUAGAACCGUCGAGGAGGAGGAGGAGGGUUUCGGCGGCGGCCGUAGACGAGGGCGUGACGGAGGGGACGGGAUCUGGCAACGGCGCUCCGGAUCUGAUCUGGAAUGGGGCGUCGACGACUUGGAGGCGGAGGCCCAGGCGGCACAGGUGCUCGAUGCAGAACGGCGGGGGUGGCUGGAUCGGCGGCGGCGGCGGCUGGAGCUUGCGAACGACGGCGGCGGCUGGAGCUGUGGAUUGCCAUCCCUGGGAGGUGCGCGUGUCGCAGGCCGCGGCUUCACUGGGGGAGCGCAGCUCCGUAGUCCGUCGCUCGCGCCGCUGCUUCGCCGGGAGGAGCACCGGCUACGUCCCUUGCCAUCCCCGCGGUCGCCGCUGCUGCCCCAAACGUUGGUGAUGGAGAAUCGCUCCUUGGUUUUCGUUGCUGCCAGAUCCCCAAUCGCUACCUCGAUCUCGCCAUCACCAUCCCGGCAAGGGCUUCAAUAUCCUCAGGUAUCCACCAGCGAAAAAGGAAGAAGCUCUAGCCCAUGUGGUUGAUGGCAUCUCUUGUCUUAUUUGCUUAGCGUAUUUAUGUUUCAUCAGGAUGCAAGUUGCUGCUUGAGGAGUGUUAGAAUUUGUGAAAUACCGAUUUUCUCUUUGCCCCAACGAGAUUGCUUCGGUACACUCAAAACGCCAGUUGCCAAAGAAGAUUUAUACAAUCUGAUCAUCUAUACAUUGGACAGAUAAACAAUAGAAAGGGAACUCAAUCUGAUAUAUUAUUUGUUCAGGUCCAGAUAUAGAAACCAUAGAUUGGUAAAUGCAUCUAAAUUCUAAAAAAAAAUAUGCUUAAUAUUGAUGGUUAAUGAUAGAAGCAUAUCAAGUAUAACAGUGAAAUUGCACUACUGUUUGUUCAUCGUGAUGUUCUUCAGUUAAAGGUUAAUAUGUCCAAACUUCAUUCUCUCUUUUUGUAGAAGCUCUUGCCUAACAACUUAUUUUCUAGGACUGUUAGUCUUUAACAAAUUUGCAUCUUGAUGUGGCUGAACGGUGAAGCAAUUCCACUGUAAACAUAAGUGCGUAUGUAGCUCUUUUAUUCCUACUAAAAUUAGUCCGCUCAUUAAAUUUAAAUGCAAUAUCAAUUCACUCUUUAGAGGCUUAUCCUCUUUCACUAAAUACAUAUUCCAUUGACCUAUCAAACAAUCCUAAUGAUCCCUUUAAAUUGGUUCUAAAUGUUUAUGCAGCAUUAGUGUUAUAAGGUACCAGAAAACAUGUGGAGAGGAUACUUAGUUCCGUUGUGAAAACAAUAGCUGAACUCUCUAGGUUUUGUUAGAUCAACUGGCUACUUUGACGGAUUCUUGCGUGGCUGUGACCGGCAGGUACCUUGCCCUCUCCCUCAUCCUUUAUGUACUCCCCGUAUCUCUUAUUUGAGCACUCCCCACCCAAUUUUUUUUUCCUUAUUUGCACAUCUGUUAUAACAGCAAUGUGACAUUAUGGUAUGAUAUUUGUAAUCAUCCACUUAUAUGGCACCUUCAGUUCCAAAGAAAAUAGAUGUAUGUGACUCUUUUUUGUUUACAUUCAUCAUGCAGACAAUGAUUAGAGGAAAGCAGUAGUGAUAGCAUGAGUUGUUGACUUACUUGGUCUUGGUACAGCACUGCCGUAUACUUAGAGACACUAUGCGAUGCUAGAUUUGGUAUGAUGUGAUGGCGGCUGUGAAUCUGGCAGUGAAGGAGGUCACAAUGGAGCGGCUCCUUCUCCAUCAUGGUUUGUAGCACUCAAUACCAUGCAAUUAAUUAACAUUCAAUUUUCUAGCACUCGAUUGCAGUCCAGCCCCUUCCUUUGUGACGCGGACUGCUACGUCUCCAGCACAAGGUAAGUUCCCGAGUGCAGUCCAGCCCCUUCCUUUGUUUUUUGUCUCCCACUGCGUUGCGUCGUGGAAAUCCAUGGCCGGGGAGGGAUAGGAGGAGGGAGGAAGGGGGUGGGGUUGCUGUAAAUUUGAGAGAAAUCCCGAGCUGAACUUCAAAUCUCGGCAGCCAAUCGACACCUGAAGGCUUAGGUACGUCUUCCACGCGCACAAAUCCAUCUCCCGAGUGUGUUGUUUUUCCGCGCCAGCCAAGGGGGUGGGGGAUGAACCUGCCCACGCUGCCGCAGAUGGUUUUGGAGAGGUUGGGAAUCCAGAAUCACAGGAUAAGCAAAUAAUUUCUCGCACCCAAUCCCGUGAGCAACAUGCGUUCUACAUGUUUGUAGGCAAUAGUACUGCUGAACUUGGGCAAAAGCACUGAUGAAUACGGGCAAUAGUGCUGAACUUUUUCAGGUAAUAGUAUACUGAAAUGAACUGGGCAAUAGCACUGAACGAACCGUGACGCAACUAUUCUAUUUUUUUUAAGUAAAUCCAGAAUCACAGAAUAGGCAGGAUGUAGGCAAUAGGAGAGGAAAUAAAAGGCAACAAUAUAGUAGGAUGGAUGUUUUUUCAGGCAAUACAGUAGAUUGCAUACUGUUUUGAAAGGAGAAAACAGCUUGUUUCAUUUAUGUGUAGGUUGUUUCAGGCAAUCAGAUAGGAAAUCAGAUAGGAUGGCAUAAAUUUUUUUGUGAUAAAAUGCAGGCAUCGUAAUUGUAGUUUCAGACACGAUUGUAGGCAUUUUGGGAGAAAAUGCAGGUCAUAUUCAAUUGUAGGUUCAGACAUUUUUGUGGGAUAAUAUGGCGGCAUUUUCAUUUGUAGUUCCAGACACCAUUGUAGGCAUUUCUGAAUCCUAGGACAAAUAGACAUAUAGCACAGGCAAAUAACUUUUCCUAAUGGCUGUUUGUCCAUGGACUUUAAGGCUGAAUCCUGUUCAUUCAGCACAUCAUGGUACUACCACCACCCCCUCCUAGCAGCAUAUAGACAUUCUCACACGGAAAGCAAAUCCGACUACUGAUGAAAUAGGGCGUUUCCCUGGUGCAGUUCAGCUCAGGGAAUGUAGUGGUUAAUUUAUUUUUGGCAUUCAAUUUUUUAUGUAUGUUGAUGAUUGUAUGACCGUAAGUAUAGGGAUGCAGAUCACUUUUGGGGGUGCAAAAGUUAAGUGCAAAACAGAGGGAGCACCAAGGUGACCUCGCCCAAGUACGGUCCCCGCGGACGACGACAGUUGACAAUUUCUUUGUAUUUUUGAAGUUUUUAUUGAUAUACUCAGCGGUUUGUUUGUUUCGUGGUGCCCCGCCUCAACCGACGCAAGCUUCUCAAUCUCCGACAUCCUGCUCCUGUGUCUGAUUUGGAUUAAUUUCGUGUCUGCAUCCUUCUCCAACACAAAUCAAGGGAGUGUCCCACCCGGAUUGGACUUGGCUCCUAUAAGAAGAAAGGAUCCUCGGCCGGAAUCUCCAUCAGAUUGUGUGCUUGGAAGUAAAUCCAUCAAAUCCCGGAGUACUUGGACCAGAAAAGCAUCAUGUCGCCUUCAAGUUCGCCGGAGGUCGAAGGACAUCCAUCGAGCCGUCCAAUAUUGCCAACGAUGGCUACAACAGAGGCAUGUAGCCCCUUGAAAGCCAAAUCAAUACCAAGACCGAUGAAAUCAUGGGUAGCCCCUGUUUCUAUCCCUGUUUCUCUGUCUGCCACCCAAGUGCGAAGCUGUUCUUUUAUUCAGUACAUAAGCAUCGACAAUGUUUUUAGCAAAGUUUCAGUUAUGUUCUAUCUACUUUCUUCAGAGUUCAUAAAGUUUGAUCCAAGUUCUGAGAGUUGAUUCAAGUCUGUAGUGCUUCCACUAGAUUCAUAGAUGCUACACUUCUGUUAGUAUGUUCAAUAUGUUUGCCUUCUGAGACUAAACAGUGUAGCUGCUCUGCAUCCAGUACACCUGCUCAAUAUUUGUAAAAUCUGAAUUUUUAUUUACUUCAGAAAUUUCAGAGUGAACACUGAAUUGCAACAUAGCAAAAUUUCCCUCACAAACUUUGCAGAUUUUGUUUCAGUUUUGCAGUUCAAUUUGCUUGAUUGUGUAUAUGUGCGUGCAUACUGAGAGAGAUGGAGAGAUUAUUCUAUUCUAGCUGUUGUAUUCCUGUUAAAAAUCUGCACCCAUCCACUCCAUUUCCAAUUGCUUGAAAUCUGAAUGUGAAAAGCAGCUGCAAAUUGAGAGCAGCAGAGUAAAUGUGCAAAAGUUCAGAGCAGGUGCAUGUUUUCGAGAUUCAGAGGACAUGUAAGCUGGGAGAUGGGUUGUCAUGCUUUGGAUUUGUGCACGUGGACGGAGGCAAUCAAGGGAAGCAGUCAUGAGCGAGGUGUUCGAGGGCUACGAGCGCCGGUAAUGCAAGGUCUCAGACGCCUCCGCUCUUGUACUUGUUUCGAUUCUAUUUAUCCGCUGCCUUACAUUCUGCUGUUAGGAAGUUAUCAGUACUAGGCAUGUGAUUUUGGCAGGUGGAGGCUUUAAUUUGGUGUAUGUGCAAAUGGUGCAUACAGACUAUGGAAAAAGUGCAUAUAUACUGGGAUCAGGAAUCCAUUAACUUAUGUUAGUAUCUCUUUUUUAUUUGAUUUAAA